AUCCCCGUAGCGUAGUGGUCAGCGUUUGUGUGCUUUAUUUCCAGCGUCUCUCUGUAUAUUUAUCUAGCGAAUUUGGAUUUGAGGCAGCGAAAGACGUCGGUUCGAAUCUGACCGGGGACA